CUCGGGGUCGGCGCCAGAGGCCCAGAGGCUCUGGCCUGAUGGAGGCGAGGCAGGCUCUGUGGCCUCCCCGGGUCAGUCCGAGUUUAGUCUGCGGAGGCGACGGCGGGGGAGCUGGCCGGGGCCAAGAUGGACCCCAAACCAGACAGGCGCUUUCCUCCCCCCCCACCCCCACCCACUCGCGCCUUAGUCCCUGCCCAUAUUGCCCGUCUCCGGUAGGACUAUCUGCCCGGCUUCUGUCUGCUGCCAACCUUGCCCGAAACCUAGACCCCAGACUUGGGGGACUCAGUUCAUUCUAUGGAAUUGGAACGACCUUGGGAAUAAUCUCAGGAUGACGUGCUGCCCAGUACAGCUCCUGGGAAGCUCUAGGAUGUGGCUUUAAACUGGAAAGACUCUUGGGAGCUGGGUUUGAUAUGGCAUGGUCUCUGAGGCAUCCCUAGUCUGAAGUUCUUCCAGGAAGUCUGCCAAGCUAAACCACAAAGGAUGAGCAGCUCAGAGCUUAGCGAGUGCUUCCUAGCUGCCCCCCAGGAGUGCUGGGAACGAGCCUGGAGAGCUUCCCAGAAGACCUAAAAGGCCGCAGCAGCAUCGCUUACAGAAACGGCCCUGGAUAACGUUCAUUUUGGAUUCAUCUUCUGGCUUUGUGAUCU